ensembl:lncRNA
AUCCCGAGCGCUCCCCUGAGCGCGUGGUCCUGGUCGCGAGCACAUGGAAGUGAGGUCGAGAUUUGUGUCUGAGAGACGAUCACGAGGAAAAACGGAAUAUAAACAGCGCGAAGCGGCGGCAGAAGCAGCCCGGAUGGUGGCGUUGCUGCAGGACCCUCAUGCAGGCCGAACCUCACCACAGCUGCUGCACCAAUACGCCACUGAAGAUACUGAUCUGAAUAGGGAGGAUGCAAAGGAAUGUGCUGUCGUGCUUCACAUCCCACGUAGAAUUGCUGCAGGACUUCAGGUAAUGAAUGAACAGGGGAUGCCCACCCAGCAACCAGAAAAACCAAAGACAACUGGGCAGACUGGUGAAGGAUGACUGAGUUUCCCACCGCCAUGCCACCUCAUCAACACACACCGGCCUGCAUGUUAACACAGAUCCACUGUGGGAGCUUUUAAUGAGGGCCCAGAACCAGAGUUUGUGAGCAGACUUUGGGUUUGAUAGCAAGAAUUCAGGAUCCUCCUCGUUGUGCAACAGUCUCUGGUUUCCCAGAGACUAUGGGUUGAGGAGGAAUUGGAAGUUUGUCGGCUUAGACCUGGUGUUAUUCCAUCAGUGUUAAACUUCCCGGCUCAUCUUGGAAGAGUACGUGCCAGAAAGACCACAACCAAGCAGCCUUGAGAUCUUAGACAACAUCUCCCUGAGGUUCCUCUCUAUCUCCCCACACAUCCACCAACCACUGGAACACAUCUCCAAAGUUCUGCAGGGCCAGCUCAGCUUCCCCUCAGAAGAAGUGCCGCCACCUGCCAGAUGAAGGAGCCUUUUGAGAGGCAGCUGGCAUCGUGAUUGGACUGUACUUUGGUCUGUUCCAAUCCAGCUUCAGCUCCAGAGACGGCAGGCGGGACGAGUCAACGGAGGCCGGGUGGACGAAGGCAUGAAGCUGAGUACAAUCCAGAAAACAACAGAGGAGGAGCGCAAACAGAGUAGCAUGACCAAAGAACUACAGACUCUUCACAACCUGCUCAAACUCUUGGUACAGGACCUCACCACACGGGUCAAGAAGGUUUCCUUCUCAUUUCUACUCUGAAGCUCACCUUCUCCUGCUCAAACUGCUGACAAAUGUUUCUGCUGCUCUAAAGUCUGGUCUCCAGAACUUCCUAAAAACGCUCAAAGUCUCUUCUGCUGCAGGUUGCUUUGUAGAACUAUUCCAGAAAACCUCACUAAACCACAUGGAGGGGCCUCAAGAAGAAGACAAAAACCAAACUAGCACAACCCAAACGCUAAAGUCUCCUGCAGCCUACCAGAGAACCUCUGAGAACAGAGAAUCAGGACAGGAACUCUUACCUUCUGGACAACCAACGUGGGUUCACAAACAAGAAUACAGAAUGUGUCUGACCAAAAACCUCUAAAGACUCACUACAGCCAAGAUAAAGACACAGCUGCACCAAAUCCACUAAUCACUGCACACAUUAGCACCAUGUGCUCUGUGGCUAAAGAACCUCAUUUACCAAGACAACUAUCUGGUACAAAGCCCUAAAACACACCAAGAAGCACAUUAAAGAUGAUUUUACUGCUGGAAGCUGCAAGCCAGCGCCUAAAGAACAAACUGAAGCAAUGGAGCCAAACCCGGUUCAGUUGUUAAGAGAAGCAGAGGAAAUGUUUGUCUGCUGCUAAAUAAAGCAGGAAGACACUGAGCUGCUCAGGUGUUCCUGAUAACACCAAGCAGCCACCUGGACAGCCAAUAGGAACACAGCUUACUGGAAGUCCAGAGGGCUGGCUUAGUGAAGUAAAUUUAAUUUAAAGUUGAAGCAGAAAGUUAAUAAAGAAAGUUGAAAACCACCUUCUGAUACCUGAAAUCUCUGAGUUUUCACACAAAGAACACCUGAACAUGUCAAACUGGUUCCAUAGUAGAAUCAUCAUUGUAAAAACGUCAUAGUAUGGUGUGUUGCUCAAAAAACAUUAGGACCCGGCUGUCUAGGGUCGCCGAGGGGCAACACAAAAACAGGACAAACGCUGGUUUCCAGGGGGUUAGGAGGCUAUUUAUUUGAAAGAGUAAGUUUACAACAACAGAUGUGAGCAGAAAAAUCACAAAGUCUGUCUUCAGCUGAAAAUAUUAGUUUUUGUCUUUUUUCUUCUCUUACACUUACAGAAAUGGUUUGAUUGCAGUGAUUGCCUCAAAAGGUUGUGCAAUAAAAUAUUAAGGGUACCAUCAUUUUUGUCCAGGC